rfam:Salmo salar isolate Sally breed double haploid chromosome ssa10, whole genome shotgun sequence.
UGUAUUCACUACUGUAAGUUGCUCUGGAUAAGAGUGUCUGCUAAAUGACUGAAA